rnacentral:tRNA from 1 species
GGGCUGUUAGCUCAGUUGGUAGAGCAGACGACUCUUAAUCGUCGGGUCGUAGGUUCAAUCCCUACACAGCCCA